GAGGAAUACAAGCAUCAUCAGACACCAGGAGGAAGGUCCUGUGAAUCCACGAUUAACCCCCACUCUGCAGGCCAAGAUGCACUAUCAACUGGAAUAUUGGGCCACACUGCUGAUAAGAUCUUUUAAUUAAGAAGAUUGAGGAGUGACCACAACAGCAUCAUAGAUCUCCCAGAGCAGUAAUGUAGGCAGGUGAACUGGAUACAUAGAGGUAAAACGCCUGAGAUACAUGAAGUCCACAAACAAGCAUAAGUGGUAAAACCAUUCCUGAACAUGAAGAGGGGGAUGAAAAGGAACUCAAACUGGAUGUUCCAGUUUGAAGAGGAGAAAAUAAAGUCUGCUUUUUUGAAAGAGUCUUGGCAGGUUCAUUCAAGAGGACAAGGAACUGAUGCUGGACUAUUUCCAGAAUAAGAAGGAAAUGAAAUUUGAGGACCAACAGUUUCAAAGAAAAAUCUUCAAUACGUACAUAAAGGUCUCAGUAAAAGGAGACAGCAAAGCUAACCUGACAACUGGCCUCUGCACCUAUGCCUGUACCACAUGCUCUCCACAACAUGGUUAAUUAAUCAAGACAAUUCUACUACCUGGACUACCACUAAGUCUCCAACUUAUUCAUAUCCAUUCCCCAAACAUUCCACCCUUUCAGUCCCCCAAAGAAAGGAAAAUUAACAUCCAGGAGAUGUACUUUAUGUCCCGAUGCAAUAUUAUCCCCCUUUUGCCCUGGAUUUUAUAAAUAUGCUCCCUUGGCUUGGAUAUUGCAGCUGGUCUGCAUGUAUGUAUUUGUAUCAUAAAGUAGAUUCUGGAAAAGAUUCUCUGUGUAAUUAGCAGAUUAGUUGGACUGAUCUUUAAUAUCAAUACAACAAUAAUUGACUCCUUGAUACACUCUGACUAUAACGAAUACAAAUUACUAACAAACCAUGAGAAAAACACAUAACUAUCAACAAUAUAAUCAGUCCUUUCACAAAAGCAUAGUAGCAGUUGCUGAUAAAUGCCCGGUCAAUGCAUCCAUGCUACUACACUGUGAAACUACUCCACAUACAAAUUAAGUGAAUUAGAUAAUUACAC